GAUGAAGAACGCAGCGUAAUGCGAUACUUGGUGUGAAUUGCAGAAUCCCGUGAACCAUCGAGUCUUUGAACGCAAGUUGCGCCCGAAGCCAUUAGGCCGAGGGCACGCCUGCCUGGGCGUCACACGUCGUUGCCCCCCCCAUCUACUCCUUCGGGAUUGCGGGGGGCGGAUGAUGGCCUCCCGUGCGCCUCGCCGCGCGGUUGGCAUAAAUGCCAAGUCCUCGGCGACGCACGCCACGACAAUCGGUGGUUGCGAAACCUCGGUUGCCCGUCGUGUGCGGUCGUCGCGCAUCGAGGGCUCGAAAAAAUUGCCGAGUUCCGGCUCGGCUUUCAACGCGACCCCAGGUCAGGCGGGGUUACCCGCUGAAUUUAAGCAUAUCUAUAAGCGGAGGA
rnacentral:misc_RNA from 1 species